rnacentral:tRNA from 1 species
UUUAGGGAGACCUACACCCCUUAGAUAUCGAAAAACACACUAGUUUUAUAGAUAGUAAGUUGGUCUAACCUAGGUCGGUCGCGGACAUUUGCAAUUGUUAAAAGCUUUCAAACUAUGAUGAAGGUUCGAAAUGGGCUAUUAGCUCAGGUGGUUAGAGCGCACCCCUGAUAAGGGUGAGGUCCCUGGUUCGAGUCCAGGAUGGCCCACCUGAAUCAAUUAAAAAUAUAAAAUGCAAAAUUAAAAAUGAAUAAAAUUCAAUUUUUAAUUUUUAAUUAUCAGUUUUUAAUUGUAUCUGGGGGUUUAGCUCAGUUGGUAGAGCGCCUGCUUUGCAAGCAGGAUGUCAGCGGUUCGAGUCCGCUAACCUCCACCUGUGGCGAUUGCCAUUGAAGAAUAGAUUGAGAGUUCAGCAACAUGACUUUGGUGUCAGACUGCUGAGUUAAUUCUCAGCCAGAACCUUGAAAACUGCAUAGUAACGCGAAAAAAGCAGGCAGACACAGAUAAUCUUUACAGAUGUUUUUGUGAAUGCAAAAGUUUAAAGACCAAAUGAAUUGAGUGGUCAAGCGAAUAAG